rnacentral:rRNA from 1 species
UAGAGUUUGAUCCUGGCUCAGAUUGAACGCUGGCGGCAUGCCUUACACAUGCAAGUCGAACGGCAGCACGGAGCUUGCUCUGGUGGCGAGUGGCGAACGGGUGAGUAAUAUAUCGGAACGUACCCUGGAGUGGGGGAUAACGUAGCGAAAGUUACGCUAAUACCGCAUACGAUCUAAGGAUGAAAGUGGGGGAUCGCAAGACCUCAUGCUCCUGGAGCGGCCGAUAUCUGAUUAGCUAGUUGGUAGGGUAAAAGCCUACCAAGGCAUCGAUCAGUAGCUGGUCUGAGAGGACGACCAGCCACACUGGAACUGAGACACGGUCCAGACUCCUACGGGAGGCAGCAGUGGGGAAUUUUGGACAAUGGGGGCAACCCUGAUCCAGCAAUGCCGCGUGAGUGAAGAAGGCCUUCGGGUUGUAAAGCUCUUUUGUCAGGGAAGAAACGGUGCGAGCUAAUAUCUCGUGCUAAUGACGGUACCUGAAGAAUAAGCACCGGCUAACUACGUGCCAGCAGCCGCGGUAAUACGUAGGGUGCAAGCGUUAAUCGGAAUUACUGGGCGUAAAGCGUGCGCAGGCGGUUUUGUAAGACUGUCGUGAAAUCCCCGGGCUCAACCUGGGAAUGGCGAUGGUGACUGCAAGGCUAGAGUUUGGCAGAGGGGGGUAGAAUUCCACGUGUAGCAGUGAAAUGCGUAGAUAUGUGGAGGAACACCGAUGGCGAAGGCAGCCCCCUGGGUCAAAACUGACGCUCAUGCACGAAAGCGUGGGGAGCAAACAGGAUUAGAUACCCUGGUAGUCCACGCCCUAAACGAUGUCUACUAGUUGUCGGGUUUUAAUUAACUUGGUAACGCAGCUAACGCGUGAAGUAGACCGCCUGGGGAGUACGGUCGCAAGAUUAAAACUCAAAGGAAUUGACGGA